rnacentral:rRNA from 1 species
CUACGUGCCAGCAGCCGCGGUAAUACGUAUGUCACAAGCGUUAUCCGGAUUUAUUGGGCGUAAAGCGCGUCUAGGUGGUUAUGUAAGUCUGAUGUGAAAAUGCAGGGCUCAACUCUGUAUUGCGUUGGAAACUGCAUGACUAGAGUACUGGAGAGGUAAGCGGAACUACAAGUGUAGAGGUGAAAUUCGUAGAUAUUUGUAGGAAUGCCGAUGGGGAAGCCAGCUUACUGGACAGAUACUGACGCUAAAGCGCGAAAGCGUGGGUAGCAAACAGGAUUAGAUACCCUGGUAGUCCACGCCGUAAACGAUGAUUACUAGGUGUUGGGGGUCGAACCUCAGCGCCCAAGCUAACGCGAUAAGUAAUCCGCCUGGGGAGUACGACCGCAAGGUUGAAACUCAAAGGAAUUGACGGGGACCCGCACAAGCGGUGGAGCAUGUGGUUUAAUUCGAUGCAACGCGAAGAACCUUACCUACUCUUGACAUCCAGAGAACAUUC